rnacentral:rRNA from 1 species
GACGAACCGUGCGAACGUUGUUCGGAAUCACUGGGCUUAAAGGGCGCGUAGGCGGACCGCCAAGUCCGGGGUGAAAUCUUUCGGCCCAACCGGAAAAGUGCCUUGGAUACUGGCGGCCUUGAGCGAGGUAGGGGCAGCUGGAACUUCCGGUGGAGCGGUGAAAUGCGUUGAUAUCGGAAGGAACGCCGGUGGCGAAAGCGAGCUGCUGGACCUUUUCUGACGCUGAGGCGCGAAAGCCAGGGGAGCGAACGGG